UUGAAUUUAACUUUUAAGUGAAAAGGCUUAAAUGAUCUGUAGGGACGAUAAGACCCUAUAAAACUUUAUAUUUAAGGGUAAAAGUUAUUUUUAUUUACACAUUAUUAUCUAAGAAUGUUUGGUUGGGGCGACAAGGAUAGAAUAUUAAGUAACUGUCUUUUUUUUUUAACAAUAAUAUUUGGUUUAGUGAUCCUAAAAAGGAUUAAAGAUUAAGUUACUUUAGGGAUAACAGCGUAAUUUUCUUUGAGAGUUCUUAUCGACGAGAAAGCUUGCGACCUCGAUGUUGAAUUAAAGGUUCUUUAUA
rnacentral:rRNA from 1 species